UACGUAGGGGGCGAGCGUUAUCCGGAAUUACUGGGCGUAAAGCGUGCGCAGGCGGCUUUGCAAGACAGAUGUGAAAUCCCCGGGCUUAACCUGGGAACUGCAUUUGUGACUGCAUGGCUGGAGUGCGGCAGAGGGGGAUGGAAUUCCGCGUGUAGCAGUGAAAUGCGUAGAUAUGCGGAGGAACACCGAUGGCGAAGGCAAUCCCCUGGGCCUGCACUGACGCUCAUGCACGAAAGCGUGGGGAGCAAACAGG
rnacentral:rRNA from 1 species